rnacentral:lncRNA from 1 species
AAAUAAUGAUUAAAAGUUUUCAUACUUAAAACAUAUAUAUUAUGUAUAUAUGUUAAAGAGGGAGUGUGGUGUGGAUGGUUGGUGUGCCUGUUUGAGGUGCUUGAGGUAGGUGGUUCGAAUCUCUUUUCCCUCCUUUUUUCUCAUAUGGAGGAUUUAUUUACGUGAAGGCUCGGUUCUGUGCCUGUGCUCGUUGGGAUGUUCCCUCCUUGUCCGAGCCGAGCUCGGUUCUCUUGUGCUUGUCCGAGCCGAGGUCCUCUGUAGCCGAGCUGGGCAUGUGCUUGUCCGAGCGAAGGUUCUUUGCGCAUGUACUUGUGCUCGCUGGGCCCUGCCCCUGCUCGUCCGAGGUUCUGUGUGCCUGUGCUCGUCCGACCCACCUCAACUGAAGCGCGAAGAGCCAA